AAUCCUUCAUGUGCUGCGCGUGUGAGUGUGAGUGUGUGUGACUCACUGCCUGCAUCGCUGGUAUAUUGUUCGUCAUGUCAAGUGUGUACGAGGCUUCGGUGCUUCUUUCCUCGCUUACUCCGAAUUUCCUUAGAGGAGCUUCCUACGCACUAAUAAUUCCUAAUACUCCCUCUCCUCCGCGCGACUCCAAGGCCUCUUUUGCAUUGAAAAAAAGAAACGCGCACAAGGAGGAGGAACGCUAAGGUGCCUCUCGACGCAAUACUUAUAAUCUUGAGCACCUGCUUGUUCGUCUCUCGCGCAGCUUACUCCAAACAAGUCGAUCAGGGACGUCAUUAGUAUAUUUUCACGCGGCUGUUAUCGACUUGACGCAUGGCCCCACUGCCAACAGUCCUCCUAAUCUUGUGUUGGCUUUGCAGAGAAUGUGUGCCAGGCGACUCGCGACGUGAAUCUCGCACUAUCUUCUGGAGCCGGAGAUAGUCUCUCUCUCUCUCUCUCCCUGCGGUGGGAUUGCACUUGUUUCCCCUCUAUCUGUCUGCAUCGUAAACCUUCAAGAUGAUGGAAAUUGAUCCACCCCCUCAGUUUAACAGCAAGGAUGACGAGAUCCAGUACUGGAUGGAUCUUGCACAUCAACUGCAUCAGAGAAAAGAUGACGUGGAGCGAGAAUUGGAGGAAUUCCAAGAGAAUUCACAGAUGCUGGAGAAGGAGUUGGAAGCUUCUUUAGAGCAAGCAGACAAGACUAGCAGAGAGCUACGACAGAGGAAUUCCAGACUAGCCUCGGAGAUCGAACAGCUGAGGAGUAGACUGGACCAGCAAUCAGCUGACUGUACUAUGUUCCAGACCAGAGCUCAGGAGCUUCAAAUACAGAAUGAGCAGCUGCUGAAGUAUGUUAGGGAAUUGGAACAGAAAAACGACGAUCUGGAAAGAGCUCACAGGGUUAGCAAGGUGACAGAAGAAGAGAUGGAGGCCAAAUUUAAUGUGGCUCUUGAAAAGACUGCAUUACUCGAAUCGGAAUUAGAUGAGAAGGAAACUCUGAGGGCGACCGUUCAGCGACUAAAGGAUGAAAUAAGAGAUUUGAAGCAAGAAAUCCAAGUUCAAGUUCGACAUCAACCCGAUAAUGACAAGUCUGCUGGUGUACGCAAUCAUGUAGACAGUAACAAACUGCAAAUUGAAUUGGAAAGCAAUAAUCCACCGACCAGUACAGUGAACGCGUCAAUGACGAACAUAUCUUCAACGUCGCCAUUGAAAAUUGGAAAUGGGGUAGGGGGUGUGAAUGGUAACAAUAUCAACAAUAACAUCAACGCACCGCCACUGGCGCCCUGUACAAGAAUACUUGCCAUGAACAUGAUCGGCGACCUCAUGAGAAAAGUCGGGCUUGACAGGUGGGUCUGCAUGGACUGUAGGAGGGUGAAAUGUUCUUGUCCCGGCGGGAAAAAAACAAUUUCUUCCACGACCGCAAAACCGCCGUCAGUUCAAGUAGACACUCAAAUUCAAUGUAUCAGACAACAACCUAGACCAACCAAAUGCUGAUUGUGACCUAGAGAUUGAUGCUCUUAAACAAAUUUACUCACGUCCCUUACACACGAUGCAGGCUUUGGAGAAUAAGCUGAACACGUGCCGAAACGCCUCGACACGAGAAGAUCAAACUGUUCGGGAUCUCUACAGGACAAGAAGACAGCCGCGAGCACUAACCGCUGCUGUGGCGGGCAACAACAACCACAUUCGGUACUAACGAGAGCAAAUCUUGUCGGCGAUUCCGCAUCUUCGUUGAGAGGAAACAGAAUCUAUAUGCGUACUUUUCAAUCCAUAGCGGGGAAUGCCGAUUUGUUGGGUAUUAUUUUUUAUUGUAAUAAAGAGAGAGAGAGAGAGAGAGAGAGAGUCGUAUUUUUUAAAGGAAGGAUCAAGGUAGAUAUUCCACAGGUUACCUAAUAAAAUUACGAUGUUUUCGACAGAUAUGCGUGCGGCAAUACUCUCUUUGUCUAACUGUGUAUGGAAAAAGUCUCGAUUUUCCAAUAACUAAGGUUUAAGGUUCUUUUAACCGUGAAGAGAUUCUCAGCUAUUUUCACGUUAUAUCACAUACAUGUCCGUAAGACUAAUUGAAAAAGAUUCUUUUUUAUAACAGUUCUCAAUAGUCGUGCUUGUAUAGUAAACGAAACGAUUUCAAUGCUGUACAUGUUUUAAUUUUCAAAAUGUAUAAUCUGCGCUUCUAAAGUCGACACUGUAAUAAUCAUAACAGACAAAGUGCAAGACGCUUCUUAGUUUUAUUACUAUUCAAACUCUCGCGCUAUAAAGAUGACAAUUUUAUAUACAAAUUAAGGGUUCGUCAUUUAGUGAAAUAAUAGCUACAUAUAAAUUGCAUAAUACUAUCUUGAUGAAUAGAAUUUUUGUAAAUACGUUAUUAUUUAUAAAAUAAAAUUGUUCAUUGAAGAAUUGUAAAAUAUACGAAUUGUAAUUCUUUUUAAUGUUGUAGAUAUUUAUAGCAAUGUUCAAUAAAAAUUUUGUUUCUAUGAAUAAAUGAAAUAGAAGAAUAGCCAAA